GCGAUAAUCUUUGGCCUUCCAGUGAUAGAGAACCUUUGGUGGCACCAACGCCUCGGGUUAUGCCCGGUAGGCCUAAAAAGAAAAGGAUAAGAGAGGAAGGAGAAUCUAAAAAUGGAUUCAAAGUGUCAAGACAAGGCACAAAAAUCACAUGCCAUUUGUGCUUCAAGCAAGGUCACAACUCAAGGAAUUGUUCAUUGAAACAAAAGAAAAAGGAUGAAGAGAAAGUCGGACAGAGAGAAGCCAACCCAUUUGUCACGUAGAUGCAUCCUAACAAUGCCACCACUCAAAAGCUUGGACUGGAAGGUAGUCGAGCCACUUCUCUACUAAGGAAUGCCAACUAUGAUGUGAUCAAUGCUAAGAAGAUGGAGAGUGCAUCUCACUAAUAUAUCACGGCAAUUGGACUAGAGCGGCAAAAGGCGGACAUUAUGAAAAAGAAGCAAGAAGAACAGAAACAAGCCGUGGAGCAUUUGAACGAUUUUGGAAGUGUUGGAUCAAGAAGAUCUCCAAGAAAGAGGAAAAUUGACUAGUAGUAGCUGUUUGAAGAGUUGAAAGUAGGAUUAGUUCUAGUACUUUUUGUUGAUAUGAUCCUCUUGAAUUUAAGAUCAAGAGAUGGAGUUCGUUUU